rnacentral:lncRNA from 1 species
UCAAUCUUCUCUAAGUGCCAUUUUUCAAAGCUCAUUUCAAAUCCUGCCACAAAGAAUUUAGUAUGUACGAUUUUGCCUCAUGCAAAUGUUUUGGAAAAAACAAAUCAAAAUAAAAAAGAAAUCUUGUCCACAAGAUCUGGUCCACUAGAUCUUGUCCACAAAAUCUGGUCCACUAGAUCUGAUCCGACAUAACUAUUUCG